CACAGGGCGUAAGGAUCACGUCUCCUUCUUUGGUUCGUGUUGAUCUUUGUUCUUGGAGGAUUGGAUUUGGCGCAAGGCAACGAGAUAGCCCUUAACAGCACUGUCAACGUCUGGUCCAAAACCGUUAUUGACUUGAUUUUCUUCGCCAAAGCGAAUUUUGUCCUUCCGGUGCUAUUCAUCACUGUUUAGUGGCCCACCGUUUGAUCCCAGAUAGGAUGAAAAAGAAUGACGCAAAACUGAUAAACGACACUAAAAGAUCUGCCAAACUACACGUAAAUUUAAGGAAUAAUAAUGUUCACACAUAGUUCUAUUUUAGCAAGCCCUGUCUAAUUUUAAGUCAUACAUACGGGCACGAUUCGCGAGAGACCAGUCGUACCGGGACGUUUUACUCAAAACUACAGUCCUUGUGAAAGCUGUGACUGAACUAACAGACAAUUUCACUCUUGCGGGAAACGGAGAUGAGCUGAAACGUACGAAAGUAGCUGCGCGGAUGUUCCAGUCUGAGUACAAGGACUAUUUACACAAGAUUCCACUCGAUGAUCUGUUUAAGAGUCUCAACUCUAAGCAAACUACGGGUUUGACUCAAGCCGCGGCGAUAAUCGUGACGGUCCUAAAGAAGUAACACCGCCCCCAGCGUGGGCAAGAAUAAUUCCCAAGAUAUUCUGUGUGUCCACUAUUCAACUCUUGGUACGCUAAUUUCGGAAGUUUUUUAUGGAAUUUUGAUGAAUGAGCAAAGAAAUACCGUCCCGUUGAAUUCUGAUUUUGCAAUAUCCUCGAUCUUGAAUAUUAUCCCUUUCAUGAUGCACUAAUUUACAUUUUACGUCACAUCCAGAAAUUUACAAUAGUUCCUUAAAUUUUCCUUAUGUAUGUAUAAGUAAUGCAGGGUGCAUUAAAAAGUGUGACUUUAAAAGGCUAACUGAACCAAAAUUAUCAAAACUAGUAGGAUCAAGCGAGCUCCUCUCUUGUUCCAAAUUAAUUAAAUUAAUCUAAUUCCAUCAUCCAUCACACAAGAUCUCAGUGAUCGACGCACAACUACACCGUGCUUUCAUAAUCUCUGACGCCAAAUAUCUUGAAGAAGUACAGCAUGUCACAACCCACCUCCUGAGCAACAACUACCCAAACUCCCUCAUAAAAUCCCGAAUUAAACGGAUACGAUCCCGAAUUAGAGACGAAAAUGAACAAAACGAUAAACCACGCAUGAUUCUACCAUAUAUGGGUCCUGUUACUCAUCACCUGACAAGUUAUAUCAGGAGAAAAUUAGAUUGUGACUUUAGCUAUAUUCCAGGGACAAAAAUAUGAAACCAAAUAUGCUCACACAAACAGAACGAACCUCCCUCCAAAAUUGGAAUUUAUCAAAUCCCAUGCGACUGCAGUUCAACAUACAUUGGAGAAACAUCCCGUCCUAUGGAAGAAAGGAUUAAAGAACAUGAACGAGAUCUAGCAAAGAAAAACACUAAAUCUGCAAUUGCAACCCACAUAGUAGAGAAUCCUGGUCACAGGAUUCAAAUCGAGUCAGCAACUCUGAUUCAUCGGGAGGAGCGAUAUUUCCACCGGAGAUUUAAAGAGGGAUUGCUGAUCAGAAACACCAGAAAUAAAUUAAAUCG